rnacentral:rRNA from 1 species
AACGAACGCUGGCGGCAGGCCUAAUACAUGCAAGUCGAGCGAGGACUUCGGUGCUAGCGGCGGACGGGUGAGUAACGCGUGGGAAUGUGCCCUUCUCUACGGUAUCUCCCUGGGAAACUGGGAGUAAUACCGCAUACGCUCAAUCGGGGUAAGAUUUAUCGGCGAAGGAUCAGUCCGCGUUGGAUUCGGUAGCUGGUGGGGUAAUGGCCUACCAAGCCGACGAUCCAUAGCUGGUAUGAGAGGAUGAUCAGCCACACUGGGACUGGGACACGUCCCAGACUCCUGCGGAAGGCAGCAGUGGGGAAUCUUAGACAAUGGGGGCAACCCUGAUCUAGCCAUGCCGCGUGAGUGAUGAAGGCCUUAGGGUUGUAAAGCUCUUUCAGCUGGGAAGAUAAUGACGGUACCAGCAGAGGAAGCCCCGGCUAACUCCGUG